GACGAGGGGUCCUAGCGUUGUUCGGAAUCACUGGGCGUAAAGCGUAUGUAGGCGGGUUUUUAAGUCAGGGGUGAAAUCCUGGAGCUCAACUCCAGAACUGCCUUUGAUACUGAGGAUCUUGAGUUCGGGAGAGGUGAGUGGAACUGCGAGUGUAGAGGUGAAAUUCGUAGAUAUUCGCAAGAACACCAGUGGCGAAGGCGGCUCACUGGCCCGAUACUGACGCUGAGGCACGAAAGCGUGGGGAGCAAACAGG
rnacentral:rRNA from 1 species